rnacentral:rRNA from 1 species
UACAGAGGGUGCGAGCGUUAAUCGGAUUUACUGGGCGUAAAGCGUGCGUAGGCGGCUUUUUAAGUCGGAUGUGAAAUCCCCGAGCUUAACUUGGGAAUUGCAUUCGAUACUGGGAAGCUAGAGUAUGGGAGAGGAUGGUAGAAUUCCAGGUGUAGCGGUGAAAUGCGUAGAGAUCUGGAGGAAUACCGAUGGCGAAGGCAGCCAUCUGGCCUAAUACUGACGCUGAGGUA